UACGUAGGGUGCAAGCGUUGUCCGGAAUUAUUGGGCGUAAAGAGCUCGUAGGCGGUCUGUCGCGUCGAAUGUGAAAACCCGGGGCUCAACCCCGGGCCUGCAUUCGAUACGGGCAGACUAGAGUUCGGUAGGGGAGUCUGGAAUUCCUGGUGUAGCGGUGAAAUGCGCAGAUAUCAGGAGGAACACCGGCGGCGAAGGCGGGACUCUGGGCCGACACUGACGCUGAGGAGCGAAAGCGUGGGGAGCAAACAGG
rnacentral:rRNA from 1 species